AAUCAUAACACAGUGUAAACACACUUCUGCAAUCAUCUCACGUAAUCAGAAAUGCUGUCAAUCUGAGGACAGACUUGUAAUCAUUAAACAUAAAACUGAAUUAUUUAGUCACUUCACUGAGUUUAUCCCAACCACAUCAUUCAGGUGACUCCAUUUCUAUACAAUUUUGAUCAAAGUGGAGAGAUUUUUACAGAUAACAUUUGGUAAUUAUUAGUCGGAUUUUCAGAUCAAUAACAUUUGUUGGUUUUUCACUAAGAUUCAGAACAAUCAAAACAUGUUUGAGUAAUUGUUACAAGUAAAUGGUUUUUCCGCUGGAGUAUAUCUGAUCAUCGGCUCUGAAGUCCUGUUGCUUUAGUUGUUCUUGCAGUCAUUGUUCUUGUUUUUUAUCUGUUGAGAAAAUGUGUUAAUUAUCGAAGUGAGUAUUAUUACUUUAAGUGUUUUAAAGUCCCAGUAGGAUGAUAGAAGAUGAGAAUGACUGUUAAUGUUUGUCAUUUCAGAAUGUCUGCACACACUAUCACAGGAUGAUCUGAUAUUGGCUCCACGACGCAGUUGCUACCAAUCAUACAAUUUCCCCUCCAGUAGGAAUUUUGUUACAACACAAACAGAACUGGAAUUUUUGGAAGGACCAGACAUACAGGCAGAUUUGGCUGCUGUUUUCAAUGAUUCUUCACAUGAUGAAAACUCCUCAGAUGACAGUCUGGAGGAUGAUCAGACUGAGGAGCUUCAGGAAACUCAAAGUCUUUGUGAUGCUAAAGAGACUCCAGCAGGAGCUCCUACAGCAGCUCGAGGUGCAAUGGGUUCUAAAAACACCUCUAUGCCUAAUUUUGCCAUGGAGAGAGAAGACACCGAUCAGAACACUGUUACCCAGAAUGCACUGCUGUUACCACUGCCAAGACGCUGCAGAUCCAAGAACAUUUCAAUGCCAAACCUCACUCUAGAACGAAAGGACUCAGAUGCCUCCAGCUAGAAGAUCAAGUGAACAGUUACAGGUUUUGCAGGAUUUUACGAAGAAUCAGAUCAAGAGCUUUACUUCCACCAUCAUCAGUAGCUAAAUAAUGUGAAAACCUGGACAACACAUUCAUACAUGACUAAUAACAGGGUGGUUUUUCACAACAUCCGAAAAGCAUCAGGUCAGACACUGAAUUAAACUUCUGGACAAUUGGACAUGAAACACAAUCCAGCAUCUGAUCACAUUUUAUUCACAUAUUCACAUUUUUAGUCACAUUUAAUUCACAUUGCAUUUAUGCACAUUAUUUACAUUUAUUAUAUUUUACUUACACGGAAAGCCCGGUGAAAACCAGAUACCUUUGAAGUGUUUUUAAAAUGCAAUGUUCGUUUUAAAGAUGUAUUACUGAAGUACUGAUGUUACAAGCACAGAAAAUAUGGACAUUUUACAUUUUAUGCAUGAAUUUAUUGUUUCAAAUAGUUUUAAAACUAUACAAAUCCUCAUUGCAUUUUGAAUAAGUUUAAACUGACUUUUGAUAAAGUGACAUUCCUUUUGGAAACUCCAGAAAAUUAAAUUUCAACCUGUGAAAUUAUGAGAAAAGUGUGUGUGUAUGUGUGUGUGUGUGGCACGUCCUGAUUUUGCCAAGUCCGAUAUGUUCCUAGGUCAACAUAUUUUGUUGACCCUGGAACAACAUUUUACUCCAAAAAUAUAUUCUUAACCAUAUCCCUACACCUAAACCUAACCUUAACAUGAGUAAUCCCUAAAAUCAGAGGAAAUGAUAGAUGAAUGACACUGAUGUACAAGCACCAAACACUGAUUUUAAGCAUAAACUUCACAAAAUCUAUAAACUGGUUCUUCAAAUCUGAUUGGUUAAUCACAAUGUUGUUCCAGGGUCAACAACGAUGUUGUCCCAGGAACGUGUCUCACUUGGUAAAAUCAGGUUAGGCGUGUGUGUGUGACUGUGUGUGUGUGUGUUUGUGUGGGUGUGUUGUUUCUUGGUCAUCUGUUAUUUGAGAUUUUUAAUCAAAGGCAUGUCUUGAUUCUGAAUGGAGUUGUGAUUGUAACCAGCAGAGGGAAGCAUGAAUCUGUGUGAGAGUCCAGAACCUUUACAAAACCCCUGAAACACAUUUUGUCCGUGUCAGUAGGUCAUCUACACGACUGCGUGAACCAUUACUGUAUGUAUGUACCUCACUUUACGCACAGCUGUGUCAUACUGAAAAAAAAAGAUUGAAACACACUGGAUAAAAGCAUCUUCUAAAUGUAAAUGUUUGAUUAUUCAGAAUACAUUCCAUACUCUCCUGUCAGCCAAGUGUACAGACGAGAAUUAACAUUUUGAGGGUGUACUAGACUGCUUUAUUUUACUUUUAGUGCAGCUCAACUGGGUAUUGUCCCAUUGGUUGGUAUUUGUGAAAGCUUAUCACAAACCCAGGAAAAAAAUUGUUGUAGUCCUAACGAGUUAUUCGUUUUAGUUUUUGAAAAGUGAUUUCUGCUAAAGAAAAUAUCUCCUUUUGAAUUGGACUUUGAGCUUUGUAACUUUGCAGAUCUUGACAGCAACCUUCCAGACUAACUAAAGUUGAAAAAAGUGAAAAAGCA
rnacentral:lncRNA from 1 species